rnacentral:rRNA from 1 species
AUGAACGCUGGCGGCAUGCCUAACACAUGCAAGUCGAUCGGUAAGGCUCUUCGGAGUACACGAGAGGCGGACGGCUGAGUAACGCGUAGGAACACACCCUGCAGUGAGGGAUAAGACACCGAAAGGUGUUCUAAUACCGCAUACGGUCUUCGGAUUAAAGCAUUUAUGCGCUGAAGGAGUGGCCUGCGUCAUAUUAGAUAGUUGGUGAGGUAAUGGCUCACCAAGUCGAUGAUGUGUAGCUGGUCUGAGAGGAUGAUCAGCCAGACUGGAACUGAGACACGGUCCAGACUCCUACGGGAGGCAGCAGUGAGGAAUAUUUCACAAUGAGCGAAAGCUUGAUGGAGCAAUGCCGCGUGCAGGAUGAAGGCCCUCGGGUUGUAAACUGCUUGUAUAAGAGAAGAUUAUGACGGUAACUUAUGAAUAAGGGACGGCUAACUACGUG